GACGAACGCUGGCGGCGUGCUUAACACAUGCAAGUCGAACGGAAAGGCCCAGCUUGCUGGGUGCUCGAGUGGCGAACGGGUGAGUAACACGUGGGUGAUCUGCCCCUAACUUCGGGAUAAGCUUGGGAAACUGGGUCUAAUACCGGAUAGGACAAUCGUUUAGUGUCGGUUGUGGAAAGUUUUUUCGGUUAGGGAUGAGCCCGCGGCCUAUCAGCUUGUUGGUGGGGUAAUGGCCUACCAAGGCGUCGACGGGUAGCCGGCCUGAGAGGGUGGACGGCCACAUUGGGACGGAGAGACGGCCCAGACCCCUCCGGGGGGCAGCGGGGGGGAAUAUGGCACAAUGGGCGCAGGCCUGAUGCAGCGACGCCGGGUGGGGGAGGACGGCCUUCGGGUGGAAAACCUCUUGCGACGGGGACGAAGUUUGGGUGAGGGUACCUGAAAAAGAAGACCCGGCUAACUCGGUG
rnacentral:rRNA from 1 species